UACGAAGGGGACUAGCGUUGUUCGGAAUCACUGGGCGUAAAGCGCACGUAGGCGGAUUUGUAAGUCAGGGGUGAAAUCCCGGGGGCUCAACCUCGGAACUGCCUUUGAUACUGCGAAUCUUGAGUCCGAUAGAGGUGGGUGGAAUUCCUAGUGUAGAGGUGAAAUUCGUAGAUAUUAGGAAGAACACCGGUGGCGAAGGCGGCCCACUGGAUCGGUACUGACGCUGAGGUGCGAAAGCGUGGGGAGCAAACAGG
rnacentral:rRNA from 1 species